UACGUAGGGCGCAAGCGUUGUCCGGAAUUAUUGGGCGUAAAGAGCUCGUAGGUGGCUUGUCACGUCGGGUGUGAAAGCUUGGGGCUUAACUCCAGGUCUGCAUUCGAUACGGGCUGGCUAGAGGUAGGUAGGGGAGAACGGAAUUCCUGGUGUAGCGGUGAAAUGCGUAGAUACCUGGAGGAACACCGGUGGCGAAGGCGGCAUCCUGGACCAACACUGACGCUGAGUGAGCGAAAGCCAGGGGAGCAAACGGG
rnacentral:rRNA from 1 species